rnacentral:pre_miRNA from 1 species
UCUUAUGGAUGAGCAAAGAAAGUUGUUUUCUGAGAUGGAAUCUACUCCUGAUGAGAAUGCCAAGAA